AUGUAUUUGAUCUGCACCAGGAGAGUGCUAAAUAUUGUGAGCAUAUUUUUGAUGUAUAUUAGAAAAGUUGCUUAAAUAUAUAUUUUGAUGUGUGUAUUUUUGACAUGUGUUAGGAUAGUUGCUGUUAUAAACAUGUUGUUUUUAACUUGUAUUAGAAGACUGUUAAGUGAGUGAUAACUUUCUGUGACGCAAAUUAAUGUACAAUUUGACACAUGACGUGACGUAGAUAGAUAAGGAGAGUAUAAAAACUGGCGCUGUAGAUUACUCAGUGUCGUGUGUGUGGAUUGGAGGCAGCCAAUGCAUUGCAGAACGCGACCCUGGCGACGAGUGGACUUAGAAGCCGUAGGUAGCUAGUCUUAAAGCAAACGCCAAGCUAAAGGUAGCCAUCUGAGGCGAGCCCAAGACGCGGACGGUAGCCAGCCCCGACGCAAACAAAGAAAGUCAACGCCAGCUGCACAUUUUAUCAAGGCAACCUUCAGAGACAGGGGUCCGUGGGGUGGAUCUCGAAACGAGAUGAUGAAAGAGAACAUGAUUUCUCGACGAUGAACAGGGUGAAAACAGACCUCCGAAACCAGCUUCAAGGAGAACACCUGGCCACCUGCUUUAGGAUCUCCAUCUCCCGUCCCGAGGCCUUCCCAUAUGAUAGGGCAUUGGAAUAUUUUUUCAGAAAGCCCCGCAAAAUAAGAUGCUCAAACAAAGGGUGCAAACUUUGCAACAAGUAGGCUGUGGAGCACUCACUGUAUAUAUUUUUUCAGUAAUUUGACACAAAGUGUUGGCAAUAGAGCACUGUAUAUAUUUUGUUAUUUAUUUGACACAACGUGAAGCAAUGGAGCUGUAUAUAUUGUUCAGUUAUUUAUUUGUCACAAAGUACUUGGCAAUUAAAAUAUUUGCAGUAGAGCACCUUA